AGUACUCGAAGAGCACCAAAACUAGUCAGUGAAGUCUACAAAAGUACUCCAAACUGCAGCAUUUAACUAAAAAGUACUCGGGGACUUGUCGUACAUACAUCUAUAGGCCCAUUAGAAGGUUUGGAUAGUCCUAAAUGUGGGGAUGGACACCAAGACGUAUCUGAUAUGGAGACUAUGAUGCAGGACAGUGUAGUCUACGUGGAAAGAUAGGAACUAGUCGAGGAUUAGGAAAAUUACUCAUAAUAAUAUGAAUAGAACUUCUCUAGUCGAAUCCGAUUAGACCAACCGACCUAUAAUCCUACCCCCGACAAUAUAUGGUGAGGCAGGAACCCCCUCCAAAGCAAUUCAAUC
rnacentral:lncRNA from 1 species